ensembl:lncRNA
UAGGGGAAAUAAUAUAAAACCAUAUCAUUUGAUUUUACUGAAAAUUGAAUGUAGCCCAGGUAAUGUCAGCCAAAUUUUAGAGCAAAUUAUUAUAUUUUGAUGAAAGAUAUAUCUGAAUGUGAGUUAUAAUAGAUAUUUGACUAUUUAAUUUAUUUUAGAAUUAAUGCAAGAGUAGUAUGCAGUUCUGAACUCUCCAUUUCUGUCAUCUUUGAUUCAUUUUUUCUGUUGUGUGGCCGCCGUUUGCUCUGUUAUGGAGGCGUGUGACCUUUCCCGCUCAACAAGAUUGAUAUUUUAUGCUGUGUGCUUGAAGGAUGCUGGGAAAAUGAAAUAUCCUCAAGUGAUCCAACACCUGUCAAAAUCUGUCCACUCCAUAUUCAUGAGCUCAGAAGAGGAUCUGUUAAAUAUACAUGCAGAUAUUAGUAUCUCUGAAAUCUCAUUUGAAUCUCGACAUGCUGAAGAAAAAAAAAAUGUUUUUUUUUUUGUUUAGAUUCUUAACCCUGCUGUCAAUAAGUUCUCAUUAACUAGUGGGUAAUGAACCUCUGUUCUUCUUCUCCAGUCGCUUUAUCUUCAGUGUGUUUGAAACGGCUGAAUAGUUGAGGUUUGCAAACGGGCUGUUUGCAUUGUCUCUACAUACAACAGUUAAUUGUUUGUGUGCUGCCUGGAGAUGAGACGAGACGAGACGACCUGUGUUUUUGUGAGCUGCCAAUUGUAGAUUUUGUUUCUUUUUUUUAUAGCUCUGAAGACUUCAUGCCUUUAUCUCAUUUAAACAUCAACACUGUCUCAGAUGUUUCUCCUAAAAUUCUACAGGGGAAAUAAAAACAGACCCGAAUGAGUAGAGCAGCUAUUGUAGAUAUUUGUCUAUGUUAUGUUAUGUUAUGUUAUGUUAUGUUAUGUUAUGUUAUGUUAUGUUAUAUGUUAUAUGUUAUAUGUUAUAUGUUAUAUGUUAUGUUCUGUUAUGUUCUGUUAUGUUCUAUGUUCUAUGUUAUGUUAUGUUAUGUUAUGUGUUAUAUAUGUUCUAUGUUAUGUUAUGGGUUAUGUUAUGUUAUAUGUUAUCUUAUGUUAUGUUAUUGUGUGUUAUGUUAUGGUAUUUUAUGUUAUGUUAUAUGUUCUAUGUUAUGUUAUGGGUUAUGUUAUGUUAUAUGUUCUAUGUUAUGUUAUGGGUUAUGUUAUGUUAUAUGUUAUAUGUUGUUAUGUUAUGUUAUGUUAUGUUAUGUUGUUAUGUUUUAUGUUAUGUUAUAUGUUAUGUUAUGUUAUGUUUGGAAAAUAAUAUAAAGCAAUAUAAUUUUAUUCAAUUUUAUGCAGCCCAGGAGACGUCAGCCUACUUGUUGAGCAAGAGAAGCGAGUGA